rnacentral:pre_miRNA from 1 species
GUUCCAGCAAAAGGGCAAAGGUGUCUUGUUUCCAGUUGUUUCUUGACAGAAGAUAGACUUUGGUCCUAUGGAGAAAC